rnacentral:rRNA from 1 species
GUGAUUUNGGGNCAGCAAGUCGAACGGUGAUCUCCAGCUUGCUGGGGUGAUCAGUGGCGAACGGGUGAGUAACACGUGAGUAACCUGCCCUCGUCUUCGGGAUAACUACUGGAAACGGUGGCUAAUACCGAAUAUUCACUUCCUGUCGCAUGGUGGGUGGUGGAAAGUUUUUCGGACGGGGAUGGGCUCGCGGCCUAUCAGCUUGUUGGUGGGGUGAUGGCCUACCAAGGCGACGACGGGUAGCCGGCCUGAGAGGGUGACCGGCCACACUGGGACUGAGAUACGGCCCAGACUCCUACGGGAGGCAGCAGUGGGGAAUAUUGCACAAUGGGCGAAAGCCUGAUGCAGCGACGCCGCGUGAGGGAUGACGGCCUUCGGGUUGUAAACCUCUUUCAGCAGGGAAGAAGCGAAAGUGACGGUACCUGCAGAAGAAGCGCCGGCUAACUACGUGCCAGCAGCCGCGGUAAUACGUAGGGCGCAAGCGUUGUCCGGAAUUAUUGGGCGUAAAGAGCUCGUAGGCGGUUAGUCGCGUCUGCUGUGAAAACUCGAGGCUCAACCUCGGGCUUGCAGUGGGUACGGGCUGACUAGAGUGCGGUAGGGGUGACUGGAAUUCCUGGUGUAGCGGUGGAAUGCGCAGAUAUCAGGAGGAACACCGAUGGCGAAGGCAGGUCACUGGGCCGCAACUGACGCUGAGGAGCGAAAGCAUGGGGAGCGAACAGGAUUAGAUACCCUGUAUUUCNNAANNUNNC